rnacentral:rRNA from 1 species
AGAGCGAACGCUGGCGGCAGGCUUAACACAUGCAAGUCGAGCGGGCGUAGCAAUACGUCAGCGGCAGACGGGUGAGUAACGCGUGGGAACGUACCUUUUGGUUCGGAACAACCCAGGGAAACUUGGGCUAAUACCGGAUAAGCCCUUACGGGGAAAGAUUUAUCGCCGAAAGAUCGGCCCGCGUCUGAUUAGCUAGUUGGUGAGGUAAUGGCUCACCAAGGCGACGAUCAGUAGCUGGUCUGAGAGGAUGAUCAGCCACAUUGGGACUGAGACACGGCCCAAACUCCUACGGGAGGCAGCAGUGGGGAAUAUUGGACAAUGGGCGCAAGCCUGAUCCAGCCAUGCCGCGUGAGUGAUGAAGGCCCUAGGGUUGUAAAGCUCUUUUGUGCGGGAAGAUAAUGACGGUACCGCAAGAAUAACGCCCGGCUAACUUCGCGCCAGCGCCGC